UAACACAUGCAAGUCGAACGGUAACAGGAAGCAGCUUGCUGCUUCGCUGACGAGUGGCGGACGGGGUGAGUAAUGUCUGGGGAAACUGCCUGAUGGAGGGGGAUAACUACUGGAAACGGUAGCUAAUACCGCAUAACGUCGCAAGACCAAAGAGGGGGACCUUCGGGCCUCUUGCCAUCAGAUGUGCCCAGAUGGGAUUAGCUUGUUGGUGGGGUAACGGCUCACCAAGGCGACGAUCCCUAGCUGGUCUGAGAGGAUGACCAGCCACACUGGAACUGAGACACGGUCCAGACUCCUACGGGAGGCAGCAGUGGGGAAUAUUGCACAAUGGGCGCAAGCCUGAUGCAGCCAUGCCGCGUGUAUGGAGAAGGCCUUCGGGUUGUAAAGUACUUUCAGCGGGGAGGAAGGUGUUGUGGUUAAUAACCGCAGCAAUUGACGUUACCCGCAGAAGAAGCACCGGCUAACUCCGUGCCAGCCGCUGC
rnacentral:rRNA from 1 species